rnacentral:lncRNA from 1 species
AUAAACAGCUAGUAAUGCAUUUCCUUUCCCAAUUUCCUUUUGUUAUCCUUACCACUUUACCAGCUGGCAGAGAGCCUUCCUUUUCCGAUUCUCUAUUUCCUUUCCUCAUUCCCAAUCUCCGAUCCAUCCCUAAAAACAACUGACGAGAGAUCGAUGAUGAUGAAGAUGCCUUGGAGGAGGAAGAGCAGGAGCUUCCAUCUUCAGCUAUUCUUAUUUACCAAUUAUUGUCAUUCUUCUACUUCCACACUUGAAGAUGCACGCUUCUUGACAAAUAACUUCAAAUCUGCUUCUUUUACCCGCCUUGAUGAUGCCAUUGCUUCCUUCAAUCAUGUAAUUCAUAAGCAUCCUCUGCCUUCUAGGGUUCCAUUUAAUAGAUUUUUAUCUGCCCUUGUGAAAAUGAAACAAUAUCACACUGUCCUUUCCAUGUCCAAAACAAUUGAAUUGGUAGGGAUCUCUCACGAUGUUUAUUCUCUAAGCAUCUUAAUUAAUUGCUUCUGCCAUUUACACCUUGUGGAUUGUGGCUUCUCUGUUUUUGGUAAGAUGCUUAAAUUCGGAUUGGAGCCUACCACUGUGACAUUUAAUACCUUAAUUAAUGGGCUUUGUAUAGAGAGUAAAAUCGACAAAGCAGUGGAAUUUUUCGAUGAUAUGGUUGCACGUGGUUAUCAACCUAAUGUUUAUACUUACAGUGUGAUAGUAAACGGAAUGUGUAAAUUUGGGAAAACAAACGUGGCUAUUGGGCUACUAAAGGGAAUGGCUGAUAGAGGUUGUGAGCCAGAUGUUGUGACAUACAAUGCAAUCAUUGACGCCCUUUGCAAAGACGAGCUAGUUGGUGAGGCUUUAGACUCUUCUUUCAAAUGAGGAAUAAGGGCAUUUCACCUAAUGUCAUCACUUACAAGCUUCAUAUUCGCUUAGAGUUCGCUCCAAGAAAUAUAGCCAUCCCUACCCCCUCACGUCAAUAAGUUUAAUUCAUGGUGUUUGCAAAUUAGGCCAAAAGAACCAAGCUUUGGCCUUGAUGAAUGAAAUGGUGGAGCAAAACAUAUUACCAAAUGUUUAUACCUUCAGUGUAUUGAUUGAUGCUCUUUGUAAGGAUGGAAUGGUUUCAGAGGCUCAAAAUACAUUCAAUGUAAUGAUUCAAAGAGGUGUAGAGCCUGAUGUGGUCACCUACAAUUCCUUAAUUGAUGGUCUUUGCAUUUCAGACCAAUUCAAGGAAGCUUUGGCUUUGUUGAAAGAAAUGGUGGGGAGGAACAUAUCCCCUGAUGUUUUUACCUUCAAUAUAUUGAUCGACACUCUUUGUAAGAAAGGACUGGUUUCAAAUGCACAGAAUAUAAUCAAGAUAAUGAUUCAAAGAGGUGUGGAACCUGAUGUUGUCAAUUAUAAUUCAUUGAUGGAUGGAUAUUGUCUGUGCAAGCAAAUUGAUAAGGCUAGAAAGCUAUUUGAUCUGAUGGUGACCAAUGAAAUAGCUGACUUUUUUAGCUACAGCAUUUUGGUCAAUGGAUAUUGUAAGUGCAAAAUGAUAGAUGAUGCAAUGGAACUUUUUGGUGAAAUGUCUCAUAAAGGUUUAGUUCCUGAUGCUGUUACUUAUUGUACUCUUUUAAAGGGUAUGUUUCAAGCAGGGAGGCCCCAAAAUGCAAAAGAGCUCUUUAAGGAUAUGUGCUCUCAUGGUCAACAGCCAAAUAUAGUAACUUUCUCAAUUAUGAUUGAUGGCUUGUGUAGACAGGGGAAUCUCGAUGAGGCACUCACACUAUUGAAAGCAAUGGAGAAAAGUCAGUUGAAGCCUAAUCUUGUGAUCUAUAGCAGUCUGAUCAAUGGUAUGUGCAAAGUUGGGAAGAUUAAUGAUGCCAAGGAACUUUUUUCUAGUCUUUUUGAAAUUGGUUUACAACCUGAUGUUUAUGUAUACAGUGCAAUUAUGAAAGGACUCUGCCAACAAGGAUUCAUGGAUGAAGCGUAUAAGGUAUUUAAAGACAUGGAAAAGGUAGGAUGUUUACCAAAUAAUUGUUGUUAUAAUAUCAUCAUUCAAGGGUUUCUCAAGCAUGAGGAUUUACCAAAAGCAUCAGAACUAAUCAACGAAAUGGUUGAUAAGGGGUUCUCUGCUGAUGCUACUACCACAGAAUUGGUAGUACGUUUAUCGCAGAAUAAUGAUCUCAUUCUAAGCAAACUACGAAGUCGUUCUGAGGCUUCUAAAGGGGUGCAAUGAGGGAUCAGCAAACUAAAGUUGUUAUAUCUUGACCGUUCAAUGGUGUCUUGGAGAGAAACUUGGUAAUUACCUUCUUCAAAUGUAGUAGAUAUGUAAUUUAACUAACUUCAAAUUUCAUGUUUAAUUUCAAUCAGCUGUGAUUCUCUUCCACAAAACAAAAAUUUCUAACACUGUACCUGCAGUGGAAACCAUGAUAUGUGUGUGCCUUUCUCUUGAACUCAGACAUGGACUAGACCUCUUUGGAUAUAAGCUUGUUGAUGAAUGGAGGUCAUAGAUUUCUAAUGUUCAAGUUGCUGGUAAACCCACCAUCUUCCUUACAAUUUUUUUUUGGGCUGCUACUACAGCCUUAACUCGAGAGCUUAGUCCUAAAAAUGAGUUGAGAACUAAAACUAAUUGAUUCCAUGCUAUAAUGCUUAAGAAUCUUUAUCUAUUUUACUUUUGUACUCAAUGACCUUUUAAGAUGCUAUCAUUUUUCAGUAAACAUGCUGCAUUAGGACAAUAACUUGGAGAUUUUAUCAUAUAUUUUGAUUUUUACUUGGAAGAAUGCAGGUGUUAAAUCAGUGAACUAGCAGGUGUUAACACCUGCUUUCUGUAUCAUUUUACCAUAGCUACUCGUGCCUGUUUCCGUCCAUUAGAAUUUAACUCCUACUAGUUUAUCAUAUACAUGCAUUACAUGUAAUAAAUUUAUGCUCCCAAAAUGAUUUCUAUUUAUUGCUAGUUUAUUACUUGUAGUAAGUUUAUGCUCAAAAUAAUUAUAUUUAUUUCUCCUUGAGUUAAUACUUAUAACUUGAACUAGAGUUAAUACUUACUCCUUGAGUGCAAGUUUUAACACCUACUUGUUGAGUUUAAGUAUUAAUUUGAGUUUUUGCAACAGGUACAUUUGAGCUUGAGCAUGGUGCAGUAUCUCUUCCACCAGUCCACCGGUCUUUUCCCGCAUGCCUGAGAUGAAGAUGGAUUAGAUGAGCAAAUCGAGGAUUUUUGUUGAUUACUUGUUGUACAAUUUUUGGGUUACUAUUUGUUUUGGCAUUUACUACAAAAAUAUACUUUUAAUUAUACAUUUUUUGUGGUUGUACUAGAUUAUUUAUGUUCAAUUUUAAGUUCAAAAGACUUUUUUUUUAUUAUAAUUGAAUACAUUAGAUUUGUGGUUGAUUUGUGUUAUAUUAUGCAUUUAAUAGUUUGGGUUUGUGAUAUUUGUAAUUAUUUUGGAUUGGUUAAAUAAAAAUUUCAAACGAAAAUGCAAUUGAAAAUCUGGUUCAAAUUUCGUAAAGGGUGUAAAGAAGCAACAUCGAGUCACUUUGCUUUGUAGAUGAUUUGUUUUUGUUUUGUCAUGGGGCUAGGAAUUUGGUCUGUGGGCUGGAGAGGCCUUGAAGUUGAGGAGGUUUUAGGAUGGCAAGUAAAUGAGUCUAAGAGCUGUGUUUAUCUUGCAAGAGUGCUAGAGGAGAUGAAGCAGCAAAUUCUACAAUUCCUCAAUUUCAGGGAGGGAUUUCUUCCUGUUAUCUAUUUGGGAUUACCUCUGGUAUCUACUAGUAUUAAAAAAGAGCAUUGUCAGAAGCUUAUUAGUAUAAUAACUAGUAGAAUUGACUCAUGGUAUGCUAAAUAAUUAUCCUAAGCUGGUAGGGUACAUGGUGAGGAAUAAGUUGAAAAGCCUCAGUUUUUGGGGAUCUCUAAACCUAGUAAUGCUAGUUGAUCUUGAAAGAAUCUGGUGAAAAUUAGAGAUUGUUUUAGAAAGCAUUAUGCAUAUAAGUUGGGAAGAGGGGUUUUUCAUUUUGGUAUGACCCUUGCAUGGGUGGGAAAAGUCUUGUUGAGAGGUCUCUGAGUUGAAUAUGGGAUAUUCUGACAUCAUAGGCAUACUAAGGUGAGGGAGGUUUGGAGGGAUGGUAUGUGGAGGCUUCCUAAUCCAUUGGAUUCCACUAUGGAAGGAGCCUGGGAAGAGGUUCGAAAAUAUUAUGUAAGCAGUGAAUGGGCAGAUUCUAUUAAAUGGAAACUCAUAGACUUACACUGUUAAUAGUGCUUGGAAAGUCCUAAGAAGGAAGGGUGGAGUGGUUAAUUGGUGGAAGGUGGUUUGGGGUGAGCGUAUUCCCAGGCACAGUUUUAUAACCUGGUUAGCUAUCCAUAAUAGACUUGUUGUCAAAUCGAGUCUACUUAGAUGAGGAAUGGUAAAUAAUUCGUGGUUUUGCUUCUGAUUACUUAAUAUUAAUUAGAUUAAUAAUAACUAAUAGAUAAAAAUAUCUGAAGGAAAGAAACAUUUAUAAAGAUAAGUGUGUAAGAUCUAUAUGAUUACUUAAUAUUAAUUAGAUUAAUGAUUUCCGAUCGAAAAAGGUGAAGCAAGUGAAAAAACUUAUGUAAAUCUUUAUCUAUUUUUAUUUUUGUGUUCAAUGACCUUUUAAAAUGCUAUCAUUUCUCUUGUAGGUACUUGAAAGGAUAUGAUUAAUUAUUAUAUUUUUAAUAAUAAUGAUUAUAAAUGCAAGAUGUAGGAUAUACAAUCAUAGAGUACAAAGACUACAUUAGACUACAUUAUAAAUGCAAGAUGCAGGAUAUACAAUCGUAGAGUACAUUAUAAAUGCAAGAUGCAGGAUAUGAUUAAUUUAACAAUUAGACUACAUUAUAAAUGCAAGAUGCAGGAUAUACAAUCGUAGAGUACAUUAUAAAUGCAAGAUGCAGGAUAUGAUUAAUUUAACAAUUAGACUACAUUAUAAAUGCAAGAUGCAGGAUAUGAUUAAUUUAACAAUUAGACUACAUUAUAAAUGCAAGAUGCAGGAUAUACAAUCGUAGAGUACAAAGACUACAUUAAUACCUUAAUUAAUGGGCUUUGUAUGGACAGUAAAAUCGAUAAAGCAGUGGAAUGUUUCGAUGAUAUGGUUGCACAUGGUUAUCAACCUGAUGUUCGUACUUACAGUGUGAUAAUAAACGGAUUGUGUAAAUUUGGGAAAACAAAUGUGGCUAUUGGGCUACUAAAGGGAAUGGCUGAUAGAGGUUGUGAGCCAAAUGUUGUGACAUACAGUGCAAUCAUUAACGCCCUUUGCAAGGAUGAGCUAGUUGGUGAGGCUUUAGAGCUCUUCUCUCAAAUGAGGAAUAAGGGCAUUUCACCUGAUGUCAUCACUUACAAUAGUUUAAUUCACGGUGUUUGCAAAUUAGGUCAAAAGAACCAAGCUUUGGCCUUGAUGAAUGAAAUGGUGGAGCAAAACAUAUUACCAGAUGUUUAUACCUUCAGUGUAUUGAUUGACGCUCUUUGUAAGGAUGGAAUGGUUGCAGAGGCUCAAAAUACAUUCAAUGUAAUGAUUCAAAGAGGUGUGGAACCUGAUGUUGUCACUUAUAAUUCAUUGAUGGAUGGAUAUUGUCUGUGCAAGCAAAUUGAUAAGGCUAGAAAGGUAUUUGAUCUGAUGGUGACCAAUGAAAUAGCUGACAUUUUUAGCUACAGCAUUUUGAUCAACGAAUAUUGUAAGUGCAAAAUGAUAGAUGAUGCAAAGAAAUUUUUUGAUGAAAUGUCUUAUAAAGGUUUAGUUCCUAAUGUUGUUACUUAUCAUACUCUUAUAAAGGGUAUGUUUCAAGCAGGGAGGCCCCAAAAUGUAAAAGAGCUCUUUAAGGAUAUGUGCUCUCAUGGUCAACAGCCAGAUAUAGUAACCUUCUCAAUUAUGAUUGAUGGCUUGUGUAGACAAGGGAAUCUUAAUGAAGCACUCACACUAUUGAAAGCAAUGGAGAAAAGUCAAUUGAAGCCUAAUUUUGUGAUCUAUAGCAGUCUGAUCAAUGGUAUGUGCAAAGUUGGAAAGAUUAAUGAUGCCAAGGCACUGUUUUCUAGUCUUUUUGAAAUUGGUUUACAGCCUGAUGUUUGUGUAUAUAAUGCAAUUAUGAAAGGACUCUGCCAACAAGGAUUAAUGGAUGAAGCUUAUAAGUUAUUUAAAGACAUGGAAAAGGUAGGAUGUUUACCAAAUAAUUGUUGUUAUAAUAUCAUCGUUCAAGGGUUUCUCAAGUAUGAGGAUUUACCAAAAGCAUCAGAACUAAUCAACGAAAUGGUUGAUAAGGGGUUCUCUACUGAUGAUGCUACCACAGAAUUGGUAGUACAUUUAUCGCAGAAUAAUAAUCUCAUUCUGAGGCUUUUAAAGGUGCGCAAUGAGGGAUCAUCAAACUAAAGUUGUUAUAUCUUGACCAUUCAAGUGUAUCUUGGAGCGCAACUUGGUGAUUACCUUUUUCAAAUAUAAUAGAUAUGUAAUUUAACUAACUUCUUCAAAUAUCAUUUUUAAUUUCAAUCAGCUGUGUUUCUCUUCAACAAAACGAAGUGGUGGAAACCAUGUUAUGUGUGUGCCUUUCGCUUGAAUUCAGACAUGGACUAGAUCCCUUUGAUAUAAGAUUGUUGAUGAAUGGAGGUCAUGGAUUUCUAAUCAUCAAGUUGCUGGUAAACCCACCAUCUCCAUCACAAUUUUUGGUUUAUUGGGGUUUGAUCCUUGAUGAAAUUUCUAUUCCUCUAGGUUGUUUAGAUGUAUAUAAUCUUGUAUUAAAUACUUCCAUUGAUUAAUUCAGUUGAGAUGCUUGUGUUUGGAUGUUACAUAGUUUCAACCAAUUCUUAUGACCUCCUCAAUUUUACUUGUAAGAGCUGCUAGGAGUUUUAUUUUCUUGAAAAUUGAUUAAAUCCUCAAGACCUCUAAGUUGGUAUACAGAUGGAAAGUUGGCAACACUCUUAAGAAGCUCCGGGAUCGCAAGCUUUAUUAUCCUUUCUUUCAAGGUUCAUCCCCUCAGAAUCCCACCGAAAUUACUUAGCAUUUUGUCUUUUCAAAUUAGUUGUUUCUUUUUAAUUUACUAAAAAUUGUUUCUUCUCUGCAAUCUGCAUUUUAUAUGUGUUUUUAGCUAUUUACUAAGAACUGGAUAUAUGUAGAAGUUUAACCAAGUUUCAGUAAUUCAGUUUUAACUGUUUAUGUUAAUAGCUUUCAUUAAUAGCAUUAGUUUGUUAGAUUUCUAUUAUAAGUUUGUUAACUGUGAAGUUAGUUAGCUUUUAGUAAGAAGCUAAAUUAAUUUUCCCGCCAAUGUUAGAUGAUGCGCCGCUCAAUUCUUUUCUUGUAUAAAUACCUCACUUAUAAAUCUUCUCAUUAAUGAAUGGAAUAUAGAAUUUUUCUCUUAAUGUGAUAUCAAAGCAACUAAGACUCGUGAUCCAGAACUUUUUUUAUUGGCAGUUAUUUUUCUUCUUUUUUCUUCUUAAAUUUCUCUACAAUUUCCUUGAUCUUCUUCAUUUUUUAUCAUUUUUCAUACUGAUCCUACGAAGAUAACUACUAAUCAUACUGUUGAAGUUGUUGAAUCAUCUAAUACAGAUUUAAUUACAUCUAAAUCUAAGAUAGACACAGUUAUUUUUCUUCUUUCUUCUUUCUAAAUUUCUCUGCAAUUUUCUUGAUCUUUUUCAUUUUUCAUCAUUUUUCAUACUGAUUCUACGAAGAUGACUACUAAUCCUACUGCUCAAGUUGUUGAAUCAUACAGAUCUAAUUUCGUCUAAAUCUAAGAUAGACACAGUUAUUUUUCUUCUUUCUUCUUCCUAAAUUUCUCUGCAAUUUCCUUGAUCUUCUCCAUUUUUCAUCAUUUUUCAUAUUGAUCCCACGAAUAUGACUACUAAUCCUACUGCUCAAGUUGUUGAAUCAUCUAAUACAGAUCUAAUUACAUCUAAAUCUAAGAUUGACUUGUUGAAUUCUGAUUCCCCAAGCCAGAUUCUAGUAAGUACUCCUUUGACUGAAUUCAAUUACCUCUCUUGGAAUAGAUCUAUGAUAAUUGUUUUGACUGCAAAACAUAAAAUAGGAUUCAUAGAUGGAACAUGUAAGAAUUUACUUUUUCAUCGUCCACUAUGAAAAUUUAUUAAAAUGCAAAUAGAAUUUACAAAUAGGUAUAAAUUCAUUUAUAAAUGUUAUUUCACAAAAUCCACAUUAAUGAGUUUGUAAUGGUUUAAUAAAUAGAUUAAAUGGUCCAUGCCGUUAAUAUGUUAAUUGAAUAGUUAGCGGUACAAAAUUACCUGAGAGUUAAUAUAAUAAAAAACUCUAAUACCCAAAAUAGUUAUGGCACUUGGAGAGAGAAAUAAGAGCAUUUCCCUCUAUUAACUUUGUCCAUAUAAAACACAUCAUUAUCUGUCCAAAGAGAGUGGGGUAGAGCAAUGAGAGAAAACAUCCAUUUAUUUGACAGUUUUAAAUUUGGUUGCACAAAAAUAGAAUGGAGCUUUUGGAAUUAGAGGAACGCUUGUAUUUUGGAGGGCAAACUCAAAGCGGCAAUACGGUAAUUAAUCUAGCUUUGAGAAGGAGAUAUCUCAACGUCAAUUAGACAUUAUAUGAGUCCUACCAGAGAUUUUUAUAUUUUACUUCUGAUUAGAUUGUGAAGAAGAAGAUUCAUAUAUCACGUAGACAACUAGUUAUAGGGUUUUGCUAUCACUUUUCUCGUACUAAAUUAAAUAUAAAAGAAAAUUUUUUGUUAAUAAUCACAAAUGUUUUCUCUAUGCUAUAAAAUCCGAGUAUCAUAUAAUAUAUCGUCAAGGAACAUGCUACUUUAACUAUUCAAGCGGAGUGGAGAGCGAAAUGCUAGGAAAAGCUAUAGUGAAGGAAGUACAUGUCCAUAAAGACAUACAAUUCUCCAUAUUCAGUUUAGUAUUCUAGUUAUAAAUGUGACAAAUUGAAAAGAUUUAAUUUUAUUAUCUAAAAUUUAAAAUUUUGAAUAUAAAUAUUUGAAUUAUUUAUCAUUCUGCAAACCAUUCUGCUUUCAUUUAAUUUUACAAAUAGAUUUUAUAUCCGUUUAUAAAUCCAAACAUAUCCAUUUAAUUUUAUCAGCAGAUUGCUUAUCUUUUUGCGAAUUAGUUUGUAUCUAUUUAAUUUUAUAAACGGAUUAAAAUAUGUUUGCAAAUCCAUUUGUAUCAAUUUAAUUUUACAAAUUAUACAUUCCUUUGUGAAUAUUUUAUAUCCAUUUAAUUUUAUAAAUAUAUUCUAUAUUAAUUUGUAUCCAUUUAAUUUUAUAAACGGAUUAUAUAGUCAUUUGCGAAUUAAUUUAUAUUUAUUUAAUUUUAUAAACAGAUUAUGCGUCCGUCUGCAAAUCAUUGUGUUCAUUUAAUUUUAUGAAUGGAUUACAUGUCUAUUUGUGAAUAAGUUUGUAUCGAUUUAAUUUUACAAAUAGAUUAUGUAUCCGUUCGAAAAUCAGUUUGUUUCCUUUAAUUUUAUAAACGGAUCAAACAUUUUUUUAUGAACCAAUUUGUAUCCAUUUAAUUUUACAAAUUGAUUAUAUGUCCCUUAGCAAAUAUAUUAGUGUCUAUUUAAUUUACAAACAAAUUAUAUAUCUAUUUAUAAAUUAAUUUGUAUUUAUUUAAUUUUAAAACGGAGUGUACAUCUAUUUACAAAUCCAUCCGUGUCAAUUUAUAAAAUUUUUACAAAUAAAUUAUACAUCCGUUUAUAAAUCAAUUUGUGAUGAGUUGUAAAACUUAUUAUUUUUUCAUAUUAAAUUCUAUAAUUUUGCUGUGAUUUUGAUGUAAAAAAUUGAUUUUUAUUUAAAAUUUGAUUUUAGACAGAUUUUGAGCUAAAAAUGAGAAAAAGAUCUAAAAGAAAUUGUUUUUAGAGUUUUUUUUUUUCCUGACUGCAAAGGUUCAGCCUUGCUCAAGGCUGUAACCCAAGCCAACAAACAGAUUCCAGGAUUACUACUGUUUCAAAUAGAUGCAAACAUAAUUAUAUCAAGAUUAGGAUAAAAGUCAUCAUAGGAGUAGUAGAUUUAUUUUACUUUUUUUUUAAUUAUGAAUAAUUAUUAUUUUUUAUUUGAAAAAAACCUAUAUAAAGGUUGCUCUAGAAGUAGAAUUUACCAUCUCUUCUCAUCAUCUCCUCUCUUUUUCGGUCCCUUCUUAGCUGAAUUCUUCCUCUUCUUCUUCUUUUAUUUUUUUGCAAUCUUAUUAUCACCUUUAGAGGCUAAACUAUUUUAUUCAGUUAAAAGUUAAUCAAAUUGAGAUGCAUUUAAAAUUGUGAGAUUAUGUUCUUAAUUUUUAUUUAUUUUAUUUUUAUUUUUAAUUAAUUUCUAUUUUUGAGAAAUAUCACCUCUAUAAUUGUCCUUUUAGAAUUAAAAGGGCUACAACGUAUUGUUAUUUAAUCCAAGUAAGUUAUAAUUGGGUUAAUACAAGUAGCAAUUAGCGUAUUCUUUAUGUUAAGUAAUUAAUUGAUUUGGUUUAAAUAAUUUCUUUGCUAUUAUUGACCAAAUUUGAGUUAUUCUCUUCUUACAGUAUUUUAAAUCUACACGCUUAAUCGGUGAGAUUCAUUUGUUUAAACACUAUAACCAAUAACAUCUUUUUAAUCAAUGAUGAACUGCAAACCUUUUAAUUUUGAUUACCUUCAGCUGAAUUUUAAUUUGAUUAUUUGUUUCAUCAUUUUAAUUGCAUUAUUUUCUUCUUUAAGUUUUCUUUUUAAAUCAAUUUCUCCAAUAAUGAUUUUAUUCUUUUCUUUUUUGUUUUAAAAUAUUCUUUUAUCCUACUUAUCAUCUAAUUUAAAUGAAGUUAAGGUAUCUAUAGAUAACCCUAUCUGUAUUUUUUUUAAAUUAAGUAAAAGAAAAUUAGUUUUAAUUAAUGUAUUCUACGCCUGUUUGUAUCUAUUAAAUUUUACAAAUGGAUUUUGUACUUGUUUACCAAUUCAUUUGCGUCCAUUUAAUUUUACAAACAUAUUAUAUAUCCAUUUAUAAAUUAAAUUGUUUUUAUUUAAUUUUACAAAUGUAUCAUUCAAAUACAUUCAUGUCUAAUGCUAAUUAUGUGAAAAAAAAAUCAAUAUAUCAAUUCUAUAUUUAAUCUUUAUGUUAAUUUAUAUUUCAAUCAAAUUUAUUUAUUUUUUUUAAUUUCAAUUUAAUACUUGAUGAGUUGCAAAAUUCACUAUUUUUUCAUAUUAAAUUCCAUUUUGUUAUGAUUUUGAUAUAAGCAAUUGAUUUUUACUUAAUUUUGAUUUUGAACUAAAGUUUUGAGCUGAAAAUGAGAAAAUGAACAAAAAGAUAUUAUUCUAGAACUUUUUCUAAUAAUAAGGUACAAUUUUACCUAAAAUUAUGACCUAACUUUGAUGGACAAAUUGUAAUAUUUUUUGUUUGCAAACUGUAGAGAGUUCAAAACUAUUUUCAGAUGCAAAUACAAUCAGAUCAAAAUUAAGAUAAGAAUUAUCAUAAGAGUAGUAGGUUAUUUUACUUUUUCUUUUAAAUGGUGAAUAAUUAUCUUUUUAUUUAAGAAAAUCCUAUAUAAAGGCUGGUUUAGAAGUAGAUCUCUCAUCUAUUCUUCUCUCCUCCACACCCUCUUUUCAGUUUCUCUUCAGCCGAGCGCUCCUUCCCCUUCUUUUAUUUUUUGCAAUUGUAUUAUAACCCUUAGAGGUUAAAGUUAUUUUACUUUUUCUUUUAAAAGGUUAAACUCCUUCAUUCAGUUAUUUUACUUUUUCUUUUAAAAGGUUAAACUCCUUCAUUCAGUUAUUUUACUUUUUCUUUUAAAAGGUGAAUAAUUAUCUUUUUAUUUAAGAAAAUCCUAUAUAAAGGCUGGUUUAGAAGUAGAUAUCUCAGCGCUCCUUCCCCUUCUUUUAUUUUUUGCAAUUUUGUUAUAAUCUUUAGAGCUAAACUCCUUUAUUCAAUUGAAGGUUAAUCAAGUUAGGUUUAAUUAAGUUGUGAGAUUUUAUUUUUAAUUUCUAUUCAUCUCAAUUUCUUUUUUCAAUUAAUUUAAUAAUACAACUUUCUUUAGAAAUUCAAGAGGUCUAUUAAAUCGAAUAAUAACAUAUUAUUAAUUAACCCAAAUAAAUAGGAAAUUAUUUAAUUGUGUUAAUACAAGUGUUAAUACAAGUAGCAAUUAAUAUAUUCUUUUAUGUUAAAAAAAAUAAUUGAUUUGAUUGAAAUAAUUCGCUUGCUAUCAUUGAUCAAAUUUGAGUUUUUUUCCUCUUAAAACUGUUAAUUAAUUAAAUCUAUACGCUUAUGAAAUUAUUAAUUAACUAGAAAUUAAUUUAAAUGUUAUAAAGAUUAAUUUAAUUUUAAAGAAUAAUAGGUGAAAUUUACUUAUUUAAGCAUUAUAACUAAAUGAUGAACAAUUGAGUAAAUAUUUUUUUAAAUUAAUGCAUUCGACGUGGGUCAAUAUAUUUUAAUUUUAAUUUUUAUUCCAUUUAUAUUCAUUUAAAUUAAUCAUUGAAUUUUAAAUUUUAUAAAUUCACCCUCUAAUUUAACCUUUAAUAUUUAUAAACUUAAACUUAUUAUUAAAAUUUUAUUUCAAUCUUUUCAAUUGUAAUUAAAUUUAUUUAUAAAUUAAAUUUUAAUUUAUAAACUUCCCAGAAACCAUAACCCAUCCCCGCUCUACACUGUUGUAAGGUACAGUUAUAAUAAUUUAAUAUUAUUAAAUAAUAUUUUUAUAUGAAAAAUUAAUAAAAAAAAUUACAAAAUGUGCUGCAUAUAAACAACUAGUAAUGCAUUUCCUUUCCCAAUUUCCUUUUGUUAUCCUUACCACUUUACCAGCUGGCAGAGAGCCUUCCUUUUCCGAUUCUCUUAUUUCCUCUCCUCAUUCCCAAUCUCCGAUCCAUCCCUAAAAACAACUGACGAGAGAUCGAUGAUGAUGAUGAUGAAGAUGCCUUGGAGGAGGAAGAGCAGGAGCUUCCAUCUUCAGCUACAAGGGGCAAUUGGUACCAUUCAAUCUCCAUUCCUAUUCUUAUUUACCAAUUAUUGCCAUUCCUCUACUUCCACACUUGAAGAUGCACGCUUCUUCACAAAUAACUUCAAAUCUGCUUCUUUUACCCACAUUGAUGAUGCCAUUGCUUCCUUUAAUCAUGUAAUUCAUAUGCAUCCUCUUCCUUCUAGGGCUCAAUUUAGUAGAUUCUUAUCUGCCCUUGUGAAAAUGAAACAAUAUCACACUGUCUUUUCCAUGUCCAAAACAAUUGAAUUGCUAGGAAUCUCACACGAUGUUUAUUCUCUUAGCAUCUUAAUUAAUUGCUUCUGCCACUUACACCUUGUGGAUUUGGGUUUCUCUGUUUUUGGUAAGAUGCUCAAAUUGGGAUUGGAGCCUGACGUUGUGACAUUUACUACCUUAAUUAAUGGGCUUUGUAUGGAGCGUAAAAUCGAUAAAGCUGUGGAAUUUUUCGAUGAUAUGGUUGCACGUGGUUAUCAACCUGAUGUUUAUACUUACAAUACGAUAAUAAACGGAAUCUGUGAAUUUGGGAAAACAAAUGUUGCUAUUGGGCUACUAAAGGGAAUGGUUGAUAGAGGUUGUGAGCCAAAUGUUGUGACAUACAAUGCAAUCAUUGACGCACUUUGCAAGGAUGAGCUAGUUGGUGAGGCUUUAGAGCUCUUCUCUCAAAUGAGGAAUAAGGGCAUUUCACCUAAUGUCAUCACUUACAAUAGUUUAAUUCAUGGUGUUUGCAAAUUAGGCCAAAAGAACCAAGCUUUGGCCUUGAUGAAUGAAAUGGUGGAGCAGAACAUAUUACCAAAUGUUUAUACCUUCAAUGUAUUGAUUGAUGCUCUUUGUAAGGAUGGAAUGGUUUCAGAGGCUCAAAAUACAUUCAAUGUAAUGAUUCAAAGAGGUGUAGAGCCUGAUGUGGUCACCUACAAUUCCUUAAUUGAUGGUCUUAUGAGAAUUGCUGGCAAAAUAAUAUUGCACUCAUAUAUAUAUAUAUAUAUUCGUUUGACACCAAAUCCUUGAAAUAAAGUUAAUAUAAAAAUUAAGACUUUAUUUUGUUUUAUAAAAAAUAUUUUAUAAAAAAUAUUACACCAUAACAAAUAUAGUUUUAAUGAUAAAAAAUAAGGACUGAUUUAGGGUACAUUCAAUAUCCCUUCAUGAUUUUUAUUUUUUUUUUCUCAAAAAUUGAUUAUAUAAAAAGAAGUAUAAAAUUUUAUAUAAUGGUAAGAAAUAAUAUAAUUUUUUAAAAUAUAAUAUUUGAUAGUAAAAUAAUAAUAUAAAUAAUUUUAUAAAUGGUUAUACAUAAAAAUAUUAAUAUACAUAUUUAAUAAAUUAUGUUUAUACAGUACAUGACAUUAUAACAAAAAAUUAUUAUUUGAUUGUAAUAUAAAAAAAUUUAUUAGUUAAUUUAUUUUUUAAAAACAUAUUAAAAAUUUUCUAAGAUUUUAAAAAAUUUACCGGUUAGUCCAACAUUACUUUUAUUUGUUAAGUAUUAUAAAAAUAAAAAUUAUUAUUUAGUUCUUGUAAUAUAAAAAAAUUUAUAAAUUAAUUCAUUAAUUUUAAAAAAUAUAUUAAAAUAUUUUUAAUUUUAAAAAAUUCAAUAAUUAAUCUCUUUAUUAAUUUUAACUAUUUAAUUUUAUAAAAAAAUUUUAAAUAUUCUAAUAUGAAAGAACUAAUUAGUAAAUAUUUUUAUAAAAUUAAAAGAUAAACUAAUGAAUUUUCUCUUAUUACAUAAAUUAAAUUGUAAAAUAUUUAAUAAAUAAAAUUAAUGAAAAGACUAAUUAAUAUAUUUUUAAUACUUUAAAAAUAUUUUGAUGUAUUUUUUAAAAUAAAAAAACUAAUUAAUGUGUUCUUUUAUAUCACAAAAAUUAAAUAUUACUUAUAAAAAUAUUUAAAAUAUGUUCAAAUGGAUUAAUUAAUAGAUAUUUUUACAAAAUUAAAAAAUUAAUUAAUGAAUUUUUAAUAUUAUAGAAAUUAAAAUAUAAAAUAUUUAAUAAUUAAAAUUAAUAUUAUAAUAAUUUAAUAUUAUAAUAAUAUAAAAGAAUAAAUUUAAUUUGUUAUUAAAUAAUAUUUUUAUAUGAAAAAUUAAUAAAAAAAAAUACAAAAUGUGCUGCAUAUAAACAACAGAGUAAUGCAUUUCCUUUACCAGCAGGCAGAGAGCCUUCCUUUUCCAAUUCUCUAUUUCCUUUCCUCAUUCCCAAUCUCCGAUCCAUCCCUAAAAACAACUGACGAGAGAUCGAUGAUGAUGAAGAUGCCUUGGAGGAGGAAGAGCAGGAGCUUCCAUCUUCAGCUACAAGGGGCAAUUGGUACCAUUCAAUCUCCAUUCCUAUUCUUAUUUCCCAAUUAUUGCCAUUCUUCUACUUCCACACUUGAAGAUGCACGCAUCUUGACAAAUAAUUUCAAAUCUGCUUCUUUUACCCACCUUGAUGAUGCCAUUGCUUCCUUCAAUCAUGUAAUUCAUAAGCAUCCUCUGCCUUCUAGGGUUCCAUUUAAUAGAUUCUUAUCUGCCCUUGCGAAAAUGAAACAAUACCACACUGUCCUUUCCAUGUCCAAAACAAUUGAAUUGUUAGGAAUCUCUCACGAUGUUUAUUCUCUUAACAUCUUAAUUAAUUGCUUCUGUCGUUUACAUCUUGUGGAUUUUGGUUUCUCUGUUUUUGGUAAGAUGCUCAAAUUAGGAUUGGAGCCUAACAUUGUGACAUUUACGACCUUAAUUAAUGGGCUUUGUAUAGAGAGUAAAAUCGACAAAGCAGUGGAAUUUUUCGAUGAUAUGGUUGCACGUGGUUAUCAACCUAAUGUUUAUACUUACAAUGUGAUGGUAAACGGAAUGUGUAAAUUUGGGAAAACAAACGUGGCUAUUGGGCUGCUAAAGGGAAUGGCUGAUAGAGGUUGUGAGGCAGAUGUUGUGACAUACAGUGCAAUCAUUGACG